GACGAACCGUGCGAACGUUGUUCGGAAUCACUGGGCUUAAAGGGCGCGUAGGCGGGUUCUCAAGUCAGGGGUGAAAUCUUUCGGCUUAACCGGAAAAGUGCCCCUGAUACUGAGAGUCUCGAGGGAGGUAGGGGCAUGUGGAACUAAUGGUGGAGCGGUGAAAUGCGUAGAUAUCAUUAGGAACGCCGGUGGCGAAAGCGACGUGCUGGAUCUCUUCUGACGCUGAGGCGCGAAAGCUAGGGGAGCAAACGGG
rnacentral:rRNA from 1 species